AUGAACGCUGGCGGCGUGCCUCAUACAUGCAAGUCGAGCGAACAGACGAGGAGCUUGCUCCUCUGACGUUAGCGGCGGACGGGUGAGUAACACGUGGAUAACCUACCUAUAAGACUGGGAUAACUUCGGGAAACCGGAGCUAAUACCGGAUAAUAUAUUGAACCGCAUGGUUCAAUAGUGAAAGACGGUUUUGCUGUCACUUAUGGAUGGAUCCGCGCCGCAUUAGCUAGUUGGUAAGGUAACGGCUUACCAAGGCAACGAUGCGUAGCCGACCUGAGAGGGUGAUCGGCCACACUGGAACUGAGACACGGUCCAGACUCCUACGGGAGGCAGCAGUAGGGAAUCUUCCGCAAUGGGCGAAAGCCUGACGGAGCAACGCCGCGUGAGUGAUGAAGGUCUUCGGAUCGUAAAACUCUGUUAUUAGGGAAGAACAAAUGUGUAAGUAACUAUGCACGUCUUGACGGUACCUAAUCAGAAAGCCACGGCUAACUACGUG
rnacentral:rRNA from 1 species